CGCGCAGGUGGUUGAUUAAGUCUGAUGUGAAAGCCCACGGCUUAACCGUGGAGGGUCAUUGGAAACUGGUCAACUUGAGUGCAGAAGAGGGAAGUGGAAUUCCAUGUGUAGCGGUGAAAUGCGUAGAGAUAUGGAGGAACACCAGUGGCGAAGGCGGCUUCCUGGUCUGUAACUGACACUGAGGCACGAAAGCGUGGGAGCAAACA
rnacentral:rRNA from 1 species